GCCUGUUGCUGCUGCUGGUCUGUUCCAUGAUUGGCUGGAUCGCCGCCUGGCUGGCUACGGUGCAACAUUUACGUCAC
rnacentral:tRNA from 1 species